rnacentral:rRNA from 1 species
UACGGGGGGGGCAAGCGUUGUUCGGAAUUACUGGGCGUAAAGGGCUCGUAGGCGGUCAACUAAGUCGGAUGUGAAAUCCCCAGGCUUAACCUGGGAACUGCAUCCGAUACUGGAUGGCUUGAAUCCGGGAGAGGGAUGCGGAAUUCCAGGUGUAGCGGUGAAAUGCGUAGAUAUCUGGAGGAACACCGGUGGCGAAGGCGGCAUCCUGGACCGGCAUUGACGCUGAGGAGCGAAAGCCAGGGGAGCAAACGGG